GGCAAAGGGAGCAGACAGCUGGCAAGCUCUGUCCCAAUAUGCUUCCCUGAAAGAGGCGAGGAAAUUUCAGAAGAUGCAAUGCCUGAAUGGCUCACUUUGCAGGAAAACAGAAGAACCAAGAGUGAACAGGAAACCUACAGAAUAGGAGAAAAUUUUUGCAAUCUACUCAUCUGACAAAAGGCUAAUAUCCAGAAUCUACAAAGAACUCAAACAAAUUUACAAGCACAAAACGAACAACCCCAUCAACAAGUGGGCAAAGGACAUGAACAGACACUUCUCAAAAGAAGACAUUUAUGCAGCCAACAGACACAUGAAAAAAUGCUCAUCAUCACUGCCCAGCUAAAUCUUGACUUCUAUUGAAGAAGUGAAGGAUGGAUUUUGUAAGCCUACCAGCAGCCAAAGGAGACUAAGAGGAGUCAUUCAGGAAUAUGAGGGUUAUGAAGACAGUGGUGUCCCAGAAACCAAGGAGAAGAGGAUGUUGCAUGAAGAAGGAGAUGAUGGUUUCACUUUGGUUACAUUUAUCCAAAUGCCCCGUCCAACUCUUCAGUGUCCCUAGUAAAAUCUGGUAUAGAGAUGGACACUGUUUUUUAGGUGAGGCCUGCUGAGUGUGGAGAGUUGUGAAAAAUUUUUCCCUUAAAUUGAGAAUGUUUUAAAUAAUGCAGCCUAUGUUUUCUUUAAGUAACAAGGCCAUCCCACUGACUCACACUGAUCUUGUUCUCAGCAAAAAACUCCCUGCUCUUCCUCAUAUUAAUUGCCAUAAAAACAAGUCACUUCUAUCAUGCAUUUGGCUCAUUG
rnacentral:lncRNA from 1 species